GACGAACGCUGGCGGCGUGCCUAAUACAUGCAAGUAGAACGCUGAAGAGAGGAGCUUGCUCUUCUUGGAUGAGUUGCGAACGGGUGAGUAACGCGUAGGUAACCUGCCUUGUAGCGGGGGAUAACUAUUGGAAACGAUAGCUAAUACCGCAUAACAAUGGAUGACACAUGUCAUUUAUUUGAAAGGGGCAAUUGCUCCACUACAAGAUGGACCCGCGUUGUAUUAGCUAGUAGGUGAGGUAAUGGCUCACCUAGGCGACGAUACAUAGCCGACCUGAGAGGGUGAUCGGCCACACUGGGACUGAGACACGGCCCAGACUCCUACGGGAGGCAGCAGUAGGGAAUCUUCGGCAAUGGGGGCAACCCUGACCGAGCAACGCCGCGUGAGUGAAGAAGGUUUUCGGAUCGUAAAGCUCUGUUGUAAGUCAAGAACGGGUGUGAGAGUGGAAAGUUCACACUGCGACGGUAGCUUACCAGAAAGGGACGGCUAACUACGUG
rnacentral:rRNA from 1 species